UACGGGGGGUGCAAGCGUUGUUCGGAAUUACUGGGCGUAAAGGGCGCGUAGGCGGUCCCGUCAGUCCCUUGUGAAAUCCCCCGGCUCAACUGGGGAACUGCAAGGGAUACAGCGGGGCUUGAGUUCGGGAGAGGGAAGCGGAAUUCCGGGUGUAGCGGUGAAAUGCGUAGAUAUCCGGAGGAACACCGGUGGCGAAGGCGGCUUCCUGGACCGAUACUGACGCUGAGGCGCGAAAGCUAGGGGAGCAAACGGG
rnacentral:rRNA from 1 species